UUGCGGUGACGGAGGGUGCACUCACUCUCCCGGCCGUGUGGCAGCCGUGACGCCGCGGCUGCAAGGCAGCGCUUCCAUGCAGGCAAAACAAUAACGUUAAAACCGCGGGAAAGAUCUGUGAAAGGAGAGCUGCCAUUACCCUGUGAAAUCCCCACGCAAGCUAUCAAGAGUCAACAGUCUUGCUCUUACCUGAGGAAAACAAAGGAACAUAUAUCGGUCACGAUCGUAUGGAACUUCCAGUGUUUGCCCAUUGUCUCAGGAUCUUCUGCAUCUACCUAGGAUGGUCCUAGUUUAACAUCACAUCUGAAAGACAGCACCUUUGGCGCUGUGGCACUUCCACUAAUUUAGCCGGGAGUGAUUAUCCACAAGUCUUAGAAGAAGAGCUUGAACC